UGGGGCGUAGCCAAGCGGUAAGGCACGGGACUUUGGAUCCUGUAUGCGUUGGUUCGAAUCCAGCCGCCCCAGCCA
rnacentral:tRNA from 1 species